CGUUCUGCCUUCGGGUAGACAGAGAGACAGGUGGUGCAUGGUUGUCGUCAGCUCGUGUCGUGAGAUGUUGGGUUAAGUCCCCGCAACGAGCCGCAACCCUUUAUCUUUAGUUGCCAUCAGGUAAUGCUGGGCACUCUAGAGAGACUGCCGGUGACAAACCGGAGGAAGUGGGGAUGACGUCAAAUCAUCAUGCCCCUUAUGUCCUGGGCUACACACGUACUACAAUGGCCGGUACAAAGGGCGGCGAAGGGGUGACCCGGAGCAAAUACCCAGCAAAACCGGUCUCAGUUCGGAUUGUAGUCUGCAACUCGACUACAUGAAGUCGGAAUCGCUAGUAAUCGCAGGUCAGCAUACUGCGGUGAAUACGUUCCCGGGCCUU
rnacentral:rRNA from 1 species